ensembl:snRNA U6 U6 spliceosomal RNA
GAGCUCACUUUGGCAGCACACAUACUAAAACUGGAACAAUACAGAGAAGAUUAGCAUCACCCCUUUUAAAAAAUUUUUUCUAAGAAUUAGAAAACAGAUCC